CUACGGGGCGCACCAGUGAGGAAUAUUGGGCAAUGGGCGGGAGCCUGACCCAGCCAUGCCGCGUGCAGGAUGACGGCCCUACGGGUUGUAAACUGCUUUUGCACGGGAAGAACGGCCCCGACGUGUCGGGGAUUGACGGUACCGUGCGAAUAAGCACCGGCUAACUCCGUGCCAGCAGCCGCGGUAAUACGGAGGGUGCAGGCGUUAUCCGGAUUUAUUGGGUUUAAAGGGUGCGUAGGCGGAACUGUAAGUCAGUGGUGAAAUCCCCCCGCUCAACGGGGGAACUGCCAUUGAUACUGCGGUUCUCGAGUACAGUCGAGGUAGGCGGAAUGUGUCAUGUAGCGGUGAAAUGCUUAGAUAUGACCCAGAACACCGAUUGCGUAGGCAGCUUGCUAGAUUGUCACUGACGCUGAUGCACGAAAGCGUGGGUAGCGAACAGGAUUAGAUACCCCGGUAGUC
rnacentral:rRNA from 1 species